rnacentral:rRNA from 1 species
CCUACGGGUGACAGCAGUGGGGAAUAUUGCACAAUGGGGGGAACCCUGAUGCAGCGACGCCGCGUGAGUGAAGAAGUAUUUCGGUAUGUAAAGCUCUAUCAGCAGGGAAGAAAGUGACGGUCCCUGAAAAAGAAGCUCCGGCUAAAUACGUGCCAGCAGCCGCGGUAAUACGUAUGGAGCCAGCGUUAUCCGGAUUUACUGGGUGUAAAGGGAGAGUAGGUGGCAGAGCAAGUCCGAAGUGAAAACCCAAAGCUCAACUAUGGGAAUGCUUUAGAAACUGCUCAGCUAGAGUGCAGGAGAGGCAAGUGGAAUUCUUAGUGUAGCGGUGAAAUGCUUAGAUAUCACGAAGAACUCCGAUUGCGAAGGCAGCUUACUAAACUGCCACUGACAUUGAUGCUCGAAAGUGUGGGUAUCAAACAGGAUUAGAUACCCCGGUAGUC